CAUGCAGGAAAUCAGUAUCCACACACCUGAUAGUUAGUUCAUAGACACUUUUAAGUUGUUUUUAAGCACAAUUCACUUUUUUCUUUCAAAUUAAAAAGAUCACCUAAAUCUAGGGAUUAUUCUAAUCCUUUUAAGUGUGGAAUUAUGUUUAGAAUAGGAGCAGUAUCCAGGAAAAACUAAUAAUUAGAGCCACUAAUUACAGGAAGUGAGACUUGCACUGAGAUGAAUAAAUAGCAGUCUCAGUGCUGUGCCAGUUCAUUUUGGAUGUGGCUGUUACUUGUGUCUCUUUCCUGGUGGCUGCAGGUUCAAAUUUAACAGACCCUGCAUAAAAACUGAAAAGAGUCUGCAACCAGGUUAAUUAACUAGCUGAAUACCCUUAAAGGCGUAUGCGUUUAUGCUUGGUUUUACCAUCCUACAACCAUUCUGGGUGAAUUAUCCAUCUCUAUUAAAAGUUGGUCCUAUAUAUAUGGGCUAUGGAUGUUUUAUAUCCAUGAAGGCCUUUGUUCCUUCCUUUUUUUGGGUUCAAAUUUAACAGACCCUGCAUAAAAACUGAAAAGAGUCUGCAACCAGGUUCAUUAACUAGCUGAAUACCCUUAAAGGCGUAUGCGUUUAUGCUUGGUUUUACCAUCCUACAACCAUUCUGGGUGAAUUAUCCAUCUCUAUUAAAAGUUGGUCCUAUAUAUAUGGGCUAUGGAUGUUUUAUAUCCAUGAAGGCCUUUGUUCCUUCCUUUUUUUGUGAUACCAUACAGAAACCCCUGAUGAAGUCGUUCUGACGAAACGCGUUGGGUCGAAUCCGUUACGGUCUCUUAUCUAGUUCAUUAAUACACCCUACAGAAUAUACACCUAUAAGGGUGAGGGUGUUCUUUAAAGGCUUGAACAGAAAACCUAUUGACUGUAUCUGGAUGUUUUUCUUUUAAGAAUGUUUAUAUGAAUGUAUGGAACCUUUUAUCUGUAAAAAAAAUGUUCAUAUGAAUUUAUGGAAUUCUAUAUGUUUUUUAAUAAAAAC